GCCUCCGUAGCUCAACUGGAUAGAGCGGGUGGCUUCUACCCACCAGGUUGCGGGUUCGACUCCUGCCGGGGGCACCA
rnacentral:tRNA from 1 species